AUUCCCAGCACCCAAAUGGCAGCUCACAACUGUCUCCAUUUCCAAGGGAUCUGACACCUUCACGCUGAUGUACACAAAAUUAAAUAAAUUAUUUAAAAAAAGAAAGAAAAGCACAAACAACCUGCACAUAAGUAUUUCCUCUGUCUAUAGCCUUCCCCUCCAGGAACCUGGGGUUCUCUUAGCCCCAGGUCCACAUGACAAGAUGGGAGGCCUCCCCGCUUUGCCAGGACUCCCCUUUCCUCACCCCUGCUCCUUUGGCCUCCCUUGUCUUCCCAGGGUCCACGUUCUCAGCAGUUAGGGUCUAGACUGUGGCCUCAGCAGCUGCAUUUCCAACAGAACCUCCUUGCCCAUCCCUCCAGUCCCCACAGGAGUGAGAGAGACACCGAAAGACCCUUGACACCCUGGCAGAAAGUCCACAGGGAGAAAGUUCCUGGAGCCUGGUGGGGUGACAUUCAGGAGAAACAGCGGGAGGGUGUGCAGGCCUCAACCAGGACAAGCCGCUGGUCCAGAGAACAGCACUGGUGGAGCUGAAUGCCCAGACGAGCAUCAGAAGCUGCCCUGCCUGCUUCACAAACACGGGCUCUUUGCCAGGGAUCAUCUCUGGCCUGUGUCCCCGAGUCUGUGGGGCUGUCCUGUCUGGAGGGUCAGAAGCAAACUGUCUCCUUUCUCCAACAGGCCUGGGCUGCCACAUCUGCCGUCAGUGUCUGGGACUGGCCUCUGCAGCAGUGGCAGCAGCUCACCCUCGAUGCCCUGCGUUCCCCGAUUUCUCUUUUAGCCCCAUCACAGCUUCCUCACGCUUGGCCCAGCCUGGCCACAGCUCCUAGGGCAGAGAGGAAACCUAGCUCUGCCUGCAACAGGAAAUUCUUCAGCCACUUUCAAAGGCACAGUCACCGGGGGAAGGAAGUCUCAUGGGUGAGGCCCAAGGUAGGCCCGGGCCUUCCAGAGGCUGGAGCCUGGGGAGAGGGCCACCCACUGCCUGGGGCCUUGCUGUACAGUCUAGAGGGCAAAGUGAGCUGCUCUAAACCCCCGUGGCCGCUGAACCUGUGACCUCUUCCACACUGUGACCUUCUACACUGUUCGUGACCUUCCACAGUUUGUGACCUUUCCACACUGUAGCGCAGCCUCCGGGGGUGACGUCUCUGAGAGGCCACUCACCCAGAGAGGUCCAGCCCCAGCCCAAGGAGAAGCUCUCUGUGUUCCUUUCACACUUCAGUGACAGCAAGGAGGCACCACCGUUUGAGGGCGCCUACAGUCCUCCGAGCUGCUUUCUCCCGAGGUUUUUCCUAGCUGCUCUCAGAGAGAACAUUGCCUGUUCUGCUGUACAGGCAAUUCAACUGGUCUGCCCUUAGGGACUUCAGGGUCCUGACAAUAUCCUAUGUCAGUGCCUAUGUCCUAUGACAGCCUCUGGGCAGGUACUACAUGGCUGGUCUUCCACUGCAACCUGUCUCUGUCCAUUCUCUCUCUGUGUGUCUCGUUCUCUGUCUCUCCAUCUCUCUGUCUGUACUCACAGCCCACUUAGGCCCUAAGCCUCUUCUGCUUCCCUUCAGAAAAAAAAAACUCUUUCAUAUAA